rnacentral:sRNA from 1 species
CUGCUGUGUGCCAUCAAGCAGCAAAUCAACAAGGGCUCCAUCGACGCCAUCACGGGCAAGGCCCGCUACACACUCAAUGAGGAGUGGCUGCUGCGGGAGAACAUCGAGGCCAAGCCCCGGAACCUGAACGUGUCCUUCCAGGGCUGUGGCAUGGACUCGCUGAGCGUGCGGGCCAUGGACACCGACACGCUGACACAGGUCAAGGAGAAGAUCCUGGAGGCCUUCUGCAAGAAUGUGCCCUACUCCCAGUGGCCACGUGCAGAGGACGUCGACCUUGGUGGGUGGGAAUGGGGGCAGAGACCCCGUGUCAGGCGCUUCAGCCGGGGCUGGCCCCUGCCUUGACGGGAAACACUCCUUUCACCUGGCAUGGGUGCAUGAAUGUGGGGACACUGAGAGGAUCCAAUGAGGCCCCCUCAGCAAGAAGCUCUUACUCUGUAGGAGACAAGUCCUGCAGUGUGAGUGAACUACAGACAACAGCAAAAAGCCUUCAGGAAAGGCUUCCUAAUUCCUAAAGGAGGGAUGCUGGAGUAGGGUUUGUUUGUUUGUUUGUUUGUUUGUUUGUUUUUGAGACGGGAUCUCAUUCUGUCACCCAGGCUGGAGUGC